CCCUUAGAUGUUCUGGGCCGCACGCGCGCUACACUGACGGGAGCAACGAGUAGGACCUGCACCGGAAGGUGUGGGUAAUCUUUUGAAAUCCCGUCGUGAUCGGGAUAGAUUCUUGUAAUUUUUGAUCUUAAACGAGGAAUUCCUAGUAAACGCAAGUCAUCAGCUUGCAUUGAUUACGUCCCUGCCCUUUGUACACACCGCCCGUCGCACCUACCGAUUGAAUGGUCCGGUGAAAUCUCCGGACUGGCGUGAGUCGGAGCAAUCUGACAAACGCCGGAAAGUUGAUUAAACCUUACCAUUUAGAGGAAGGUGAAGUCGUAACA
rnacentral:rRNA from 1 species